CCCUGCUUCAGCUCCGCAUCUACUACUACUAUAAAAGAAAGAGAGGAGCAGAUCCAAACAAUCACAUCGAUCCAUCAUCAAAAUCUAAUGGCUCUUAAUCAUUAUGUGUUUAACGCUGCCAACCACGCAAUAAGGCGCUAACAGUCCAUCUAUCGCUAACCCUACCCCGCAGUCAAAAGAAUAAAAGAAAAAACCGCUGCCCGCACGACCUCUCACCCCCUGCUCCUCGACCUCUCGCUCCCUGCUCCUCCUACCGCACCGUUCGCCGCCCCACAACCGCUCGCCGCUUCGCCGCCUUCCGCAGCCGCGCCCCUUCGCCGUCGCCCACCUACUGCCCUUCUCUCCCUGCACUUUUCCACCCUCACGCAGCCGCCGCCAGCGCCUUGUGCCCCAACGCCGCUAUCGCCAUCACCUCCUCCCCAUGGUCCGCGAGCUAGACGCGCUGCCGGGAAGAAUCCACCAUCUACGGCCUUGCGGCGCUCGCCGGGGACACCGCCGCCGCCGCCUCUAUCCUUUCCGGAUGCCUCUGUCUCCUCUCUACAGCGGCCUCCUCAUCUCUUCACGGCUGCUCCAGAGGUCGCCCCCUCGAGCAUCGCGUCCUCUUCUCCACCACCACCUCGCCGCCGCCUCCUCCCUUCGGUUCUCUCCUCGAAGCUCCAUCAAGUGGUCACUGCCGCCUGCUGCCUCUUCUCUCCUGCAGGACGACGCCUCCCCAUCCACCAUCUGCCGCCGCUGAACUGGGUGGCAGUUGCGGCCAUGGGGGAGCAGGGGUGGCAUGGUCUUCAUGGUCGUUAUGUACAAGAAGACGAGGACGGCAGUGGGGGGAACGAGCAGCGAGGCCGGAGCUUCACUAUGGAUUUGAGGAUGCAACUCGCUGGCCACCAUCACCGUCCGCAAUCUGGGCAAUGAUGUGAGACAGAAAAGAAGAGGAAGACGUUGGUGAAGGAGAGGGCAGCACAAAUGUACACCGCUGUGGCCAGGUUAUUUCAUACGACACAGCCACAGGUGAUGUACAUGAAUGACGGCAGAUGGUUGAGGAUUGAGGGAAUGUAGAUGCGACUAGCGAGCACUUACUCUGAGGUGCUUUCAGAUGAUGGUUUAAUAAGACUGUUUGGACAAAAUUCUGAUUUUUCAACACUUGUUUCAUGUGCGAAUAUUCUGGGAGCACCAACUCCAACUGCUGACAAGGUGAAGCUUAUGAUCAGUACAACUUUGUUUGACAUUUGGCUGGGCUAAAAAAAAUAUCAAUGGGAGCUUUGGACGGCCCGAUUGCAUUAGUGCCUGUGGUUGCGAACGUCCGCCGUCUGCCGCAGCUUCGUCAAUCGUCCUUCUCAGGUGUCAGCGAUCUUAGCCGUGAGGAGCGAGCGACACACCGUUCCCGUCGACGCCGUCGUCCGUCGGCAUCCGGUAUUGCUGUACGCUAUACCUGUACUGAUUGUGAUUGGCGUCCCAUCCGACACCAGAACGAGAACCCCUUCAAUUUAGAUGAGGUGCCUUAGGCAUGAUGAUGUGUUUUUGCAUGAUGAUGUAAUAAAUGCAUAUAUAUACUGUAUAAGUGCCCAGGAGCAUCUGCAAGAUAGAGUGGGUGGAAUGGUACAUAUUGCAAGCACGUUUGUGUCUUCCCUGCUAAAGAACGAUGAGGUAGACCGGGCAACACAUCGCCACAUUGUAAAACGAGUGAAUGCUUUUUUGGAGCAUGACAUGGUAUUCCUUCCAGUUAACAUCAGAAAAUGCCACUGGUAUCUAUCAGUAAUCAAUGCGAAGAAACAAGAGAUACAGGUACUGGACUCGCUUGGAGUUGGAAUGAGCCGAAGUGACCUCACUAAGAUGUUACAAGGACUUGACCAGCAUCUAAAAAUCGCAUGCAAUAUGCCAGAGUUUAAGAGAGGUGAUAGGUGGCAGGACCUCGAUAUUACGAAUUGGAAAGUCGUAGAACAGCUCCAAGAGCCAAUCCAAACAGACGGGAGGACAUGAAAGAAUUUCGACGAAAGAUAAUUUGAUUAAGCGCAACUGGACAUGAUCUACUAGGUGUAGUUUCUGUGAUCGGGAUGAAACUAUCAAGCAUCUUUUCUUUGAUUGCCCGAUGGCGAGGGUGUUGUGGCGCUCGGUGCAAAUUGCCUUUAACAUUACUCCUUCAAAUUUGGUCAGGUCGUUUUUUGGAACGUGGCUGGUUGGUAUAGAGGCCGAAACAGCUAGACAAAUUUGAGUGGGAGCAUGUGCGUUGUUAUGGGCAAUUUGGAACUGCAGAAAUGACUUGGCUUUUAACAGAACCAUUUU